rnacentral:misc_RNA from 1 species
GAUGAAGAACGUAGCGAAAUGCGAUAAGUAAUGUGAAUUGCAGAAUUCCGAGAAUCAUCGAAUCUUUGAACGCACAUUGCGCCCCCUGGCAUUCCGGGGGGCAUGCCUGUCCGAGCGUCAUUUCUGCCCUCCAGCCCGGCUGGGUGUUGGGCGCUGUCCCCCCGGGGACACGCCCCAAAGGCAGUGGCGGCGCCGCGUCGGGUCCUCGAGCGUAUGGGGCUUUGUCACCCGCUCGGGACGGACUCGUCGGCGCUGGUCUUCCUCCAGGCGACCCUUCGGGGCUCGUCUUCCUUCGGUUGACCUCGGAUCAGGUAGGGUUACCCGCUGAACUUAAGCAUAUCAAUAAGCGGAGGA